rnacentral:rRNA from 1 species
UGGUGCAUGGUUGUCGUCAGCUCGUGUCGUGAGAUGUUGGGUUAAGUCCCGCAACGAGCGCAACCCCUAUUGUUAGUUGCCAUCAUUCAGUUGGGCACUCUAGCGAGACUGCCGGGGUCAACUCGGAGGAAGUGGGGAUGACGUCAAAUCAUCAUGCCCCUUAUGUCUUGGGCUUCACGCAUGCUACAAUGGCCGGUACAAAGGGCUGCGAUACCGCGAGGUGGAGCGAAUCCCAGAAAGCCGGUCUCAGUUCGGAUUGGGGUCUGCAACUCGACCCCAUGAAGUCGGAGUCGCUAGUAAUCGCAGAUCAGCAACGCUCGCGGUCGAAUACGUUCCGGCCUU